CGACAACAAUCCACGAUUGCUUGCUUAUUCCAUCCUAAGUACAAGCACUCCAAGUCCAAAUCAUAUCACAAAAUUAGAAAAUCUAUUGCAAUACAUUAUGGAUCUUGAUCAGUUUCUGGCUUCCUUGGUCAAGAUAAUGUGAAAGUCGGCAGUCUUGUGGUCAAAGAUCGAGUGUUCAUGGAGGCUA